rnacentral:rRNA from 1 species
UUGUAGGCUGAAACUCGCCUACAUGAAGCUGGAAUUGCUAGUAAUCACAGGUCAGCAUACUGUGGUGAAUACGUUCCCGGGCCUUGUACACACCGCCCGUCACACCAUGAGAGUUGAGAAUACCCGAAGCCCAUGUCAAAGUGGUCGAAGGUAGGCUUGAUGAUUGGGGUGAAGUCGUAACAAGGUAUC